UGACCGCCUCUAUGAGAACUUGGCUCUUGUCUGCUCCCUUGAAAGACUGGAAACCCCUUGGGGGCAGCAACAGUCUCUUUCCUUGGGACUGUAUUCCCAGCAUCUCCCACCAUGCCCAGCUAUGGUGGAAGUCCAAUCAAUAUUUUUUAUAUUGAAUUUUGUCUUUACAAAACCCUAUAGGGUGGAUACUUUUAUUAUCCCUAUUGUAUGCCUCCACGGCGAGGUCAAAUAGCUUGCCCAAGGUCACAAAACUAAAAUGUCCAUCAUACACACAGGCGUCAGAUGAACUGUCAUAUUUACCAUGUAGGAUACACACGGCUCAGCUGCCCAGCCCCACAUUCUCCCCCCAUGCUGGAAUCACACACGGCUUCACAGAAUAGUCCUCUGUAGUACAGAGGGUGGGGGGCUGCGUGUUAGUCUGUACUGGAUUGACUACCUUUCUGACCUUCCCAUAUGAGGUGACUGGCAAGUGCACACAGUGAGACUGUAAGAUAUGGAUACAUAUUCGAGGAAAUUAUGACGGGAGAACGAAGUUACUAUAUUUAGUGCUAGAUACAGCCCAAAGAAAACAAGGAGUCAAGACUCAAAAAUUAUAUAUCAUAGAUUAAAUAAUACAUUAGUAAAAGGAAACAUGCUAUCAUUCAGGAGGGAUUUUUUUUUUCUAGAAGGAAUAUAUCCAGUGAGUCCUUACUAAAUAGUCAUUGAUCAACACACAUAACCAUUUCUUAUAAAAGUUCAUGGUAAAGGGAACAGAAGAAAGUGUGUUUCCUUUCAGAUAUAUCUGCAGUUGAAGAGCUGCAGAUACCUGUCUGAGGUAUGAACUUGAUGGAAAGGUAAAGCUUAGCGGCGCAGGUAGCCAGCAGGACCGUGAGACCAGCGGUUUCCACGCGCUUAUAACAAUGACCCACGAAGGAUGGGAGGCACCACACAUUUCACACAAUGGCCCAGUAUUUACAAUUGAAACAAGUUUCUCAAUAUUUACCCUUCCUAUGUAUGAUGCACUCUUGUAUCUUCUCUUAUAGGCUGUCAAAUUUUUUAAUCCUGGUCAAAAUCACCAAGUUGAUUCCAGGACUUAUUAAUAGGACAGCCCACAGUUGGAAACCCACUUGCUUAACCAGUGCUUCUCAAACUUGACUUUGCAUAAGAAUCGUCUGGGGACUUGAUGAAAAUGAGGAUUUUCAUUCAGCGUCUGUGGGCAGUACGGAGUCUGAAUUUGCGUUCACUCCUGCUGAGCCGGGAACUGCACCGCGGCUAACAAAAACUCUCAUUUGUCACGCAGUUAGUAUCUGCUCUGGACUUUGGAUGGGAGCAGGAGAGAAUCAGAUUCACUGAGAACUCCAACAGGAAUCAGGAAUACAAAUAUGGCUUUCAUAGUUCAAUUAUCCAAUCCUUUGUGCCAGGUAAUUUUUAAAUACACAUGUAUGUGGUUUCCCUGGAAACUGGCACAGCCCAAGAUAGCAUCAAGUAAAACCUGUCUCUGCAUUAACAUUGUAUCAGGAAUCAAGUCAAUGGCCAGGUGAGGAGGAAAGAAAACAUCUGGAGGGAGGAAAGGGACGCCCCUGGUGGAGAAUAUGGGAGGGUCGCAGACAAAAGCUUUGCCCAUUUUACUUCCUCCCUCCCUCCAUGGGCCCUGGCCACAGCACAGGUUGCUAAUCUUUGGGAGGCUGGUUCCCAGGCAUGGGAGGAAAAUAAUGAAGUCAGUUUAGCUCGUUGUCACUCCGCUUAAGUAUCAUUUGGCUCCUGUUCCCUGCGGGGCAGUCUUCACCAGCAUCCCCAGGUAAUUCAGACACUCCGAUUCUCGUCCAUUUCCAGCAAGGGACAACGUUUUCCAUUCUCACUUCUCCUCCGGUCUGUUUUCCUGUGGCUUUAUAUCAGCAUCUGUCUUGAGCAUCCCUGCCAACCACACUGGGAGUGGGAGCUGGGUGGGGAAAUCAUUAAACCAGAAGGGAAGUCCUAUCUAUGGAGUCAUACUUGGCUUUAUAAAUAGUUUUUAUGAUAUAGGAGGACGGGGACUGUUUCCAAAGUCAAGUUUUGUUGUUUGGAUGUUUUGUUUUGUUUUGUUUUUAACUAGAAUGCAUGGGUGUUCUUGGCUCUCUGUGCUUUGCCUUCUCCCCGACAGUAACACAGCAGUGAGAUGGAUCUGCCCUGAGUCAGCUCAGAGAAGGCUGUCGACCUUUCCACCCCCAGCAUUCCGGAGAUAACGCAUGGCAUCUUGCAAGGUUGCCGUCGUGCCUUGUAACCGAAAGACCAUGUAAUGUGGAACACGUCUCCGGGGUUCCAGCAAGGUCAUUGAUUUACAGCUCCGUAAAAGUCUCAGCCAAACCCCGCAGAACAUGUACAGGAUUUGAGAGAGCCAGAUGUGGGUAAAUUGCCUGUUGCAAAAAAUCUGGAAGAGAGAAAGGUGCCACAAAUUGAAUUAGGCUCAGAUUAUUCAGAAAGGAAAUAACAGGUGGAGAACAUUUCAAAAAGAGGUCCCUUCAAAACGGCCUUCCUAGGACAGCAGCCAAGUACAUUUUUUCUUCCAGGGCUGAGUCUGUGGCGCAGUCGGCUGCUGAGAUCCAGUGCCACUCGCCCGAUGGGUACACACUUGAUGUAUAAAUAUUCAUGCGAGGUGGGAGGAAAGCCUUUGAAUUGACACGAUUUGGUUUGGUUGUUCCAAGCAAACAAAUGUAGCCCCAGGGGACUGGCUUUCGGAGCUACAUCCUACCACCAAAGAUAAAAUCUGUGCGUGGGGUAGGGAAGCAUUUUCUCUUAGUGAGUUUUCUUGGGUAACCAACCCACUUGGUGGCACCUGGUUCUUCCUCGGCUCAGUUCCCUGACUGUGGGACUUGAAGUUCCAUUCAGUGGUCUGUCCAUGGCCAGAUGAGCCCGGAAGGCUGCACCCAGCUGACAGAGAGAUCCAGAGGCAACUCCCAGGCAAUUCAGGCUCUUUCGUGCCUUUUACUUGAUUCCCAAAGGCCCCCCAUGAGACCAAGGAAUCUGGUUACUGUUCUCAAGGGAGAUUUGCCCCAGGCUCACUCAAGGCUAAGGGGUAGUGGGGGUGGGGAGGAUCCUGGGUACAUGGAAGGGACCUUGGAGGAGUGAAGGGCCCCCCUCUGAGAGAAUGGGGAUACACCACUGACUACCCAAAAUACCAAACCACCCACCCCCAUGGGUCUGCAUCAAGGCUGAAAUGCUCACCACUGCUUUCCCUUCCUAAGGAUUCACCCAGGCUACCACUUUCGGUUGUGAGAGCCAGAGUCUUCCCUAACCAGCGGGCCAGUGACUAUCGUCUCCUCUCACCAUCGUCGUGAAGGUGAGGGUUUCUGAGUCCCUGCCGUUACCAGCUAGGUGACACGCAUGUCAUACUGGGGAGAACAUGAAAGACCCAGCUUCACUUGACACAAUCUGGGUCAUAGGACUUAUGCCAAGGGGCUUCCCUGCCCCACCCCCACUCCUUCCUGGCUUCAAAGACAGGGUGGUCACUUUCUCCCUAAUAGAUUCUGGAGACUUUAAAGGAAAACAACCACCUCCACACAAGCCGUGAGAACAAGGCCUCUUAGAAACUUUCUGCUGCCUCUUCCGCACCAAGUAUGUGUUUACGGGUGGCUUUCACAAGCUGCAAGGCCUGCCCAGGAAAUGGAAUUUUCCUAUUGAGCCAAAAUUGUGUUUUGGCCCAAAGCUGAAGAGAGAAUGCAUCAGGAACCCCCACAUUCUAAAGUGAGCAUUUUUUUUUAAGAUUUUAUUUAUUUAUUUUAGAGAGAGGGAGAGGGAGAGCGAGGGAAGGAGCAGAGGGAGAGAGACAAGCAGACUGUGCUGAGCUUGGAGCCUUA